CCUACGGGUGGCAGCAGUGGGGAAUAUUGGACAAUGGGCGAAAGCCUGAUCCAGCCAUGCCGCGUGUGUGAAGAAGGCCUUCGGGUUGUAAAGCACUUUCAGUGGGGAAGAAAGCCUUGGGGCUAAUACCCUCGAGGAAGGACAUCACCCACAGAAGAAGCACCGGCUAACUCCGUGCCAGCAGCCGCGGUAAUACGGAGGGUGCGAGCGUUAAUCGGAAUUACUGGGCGUAAAGCGCGCGUAGGCGGUCUGAUAAGCCGGUUGUGAAAGCCCCGGGCUCAACCUGGGAACGGCAUCCGGAACUGUCAGGCUAGAGUGCAGGAGAGGAAGGUAGAAUUCCCGGUGUAGCGGUGAAAUGCGUAGAGAUCGGGAGGAAUACCAGUGGCGAAGGCGGUCUUCUGGACUGACACUGACGCUGAGGUGCGAAAGCGUGGGUAGCAAACAGGAUUAGAUCCCCUAGUAGUC
rnacentral:rRNA from 1 species